rnacentral:tRNA from 1 species
UCAUUGGAGGACUAGUGGUUAGGCUUCGGUGAUCUCACCGCUGUGGCCUGGGGUCGAUUCCUGGCCAGGAAG